UCCCUGGUAGUAUAUCGGUUAGUACACGCGCCUGUCAUGUCCAGUCCAAUCAUUGUCAAUUCAUUGAUAUCCGCGCGAAAGCUGGGUUCAACUCCCAGCCAGGGAG